UACAGAGGGUGCAAGCGUUAAUCGGAUUUACUGGGCGUAAAGCGUGCGCAGGCGGUUCGUUAAGUCAGCUGUGAAAGCCCCGGGCUCAACCUGGGAAUUGCGGUUGAAACUGGCGAACUAGAAUCUGGCAGAGGGGGGUGGAAUUCCACGUGUAGCAGUGAAAUGCGUAGAGAUGUGGAGGAACACCGAUGGCGAAGGCAGCCCCCUGGGCUGAGAUUGACGCUCAGGCACGAAAGCGUGGGGAGCAAACAGG
rnacentral:rRNA from 1 species